rfam:Flavobacteriaceae bacterium TMED48 11185, whole genome shotgun sequence.
UAAACGGCUUUACAAAAGCCAUCAAUUUUGAGAAAAGAUUUAAAU